CCUACGGGAGGCGGCGACGAGCAGCAUGGGGAUAUUGGCCCAGCAGAUGGCAGCGUAGCACAUGGGACAGGGCUCUGCGCUGCUGUAGAUGACGCAGUGGGACAGAUCGCCCGGCUGGGUGAGCUUUGACUCAUCCUUUCUGAUGCUUCCCAGGUCAAAGACCCCGAGACUUGCGCAGGCGCUUCGAAUGGCCAUGAUCUCCGCAUGGGCGGUGGGAUCCAGUGCCGAUGUUACCUGGUUAUGAUUGAUCCAGUACCUCAGGAUCUGAUCAGAAGAGUCAUCGAUCUGCAGUAUCAGCGCCGCAAAAGGACCGCCCUUCUCUGCCACCGACUCCCGAGCGGCCAGGCAGGCCAGUUGCAUCCAGCGGUCGCCCUCCACCUCGAUACCCGUGUAGUC
rnacentral:rRNA from 1 species